rnacentral:misc_RNA from 1 species
GAAAUGCGAUAAGUAGUGUGAAUUGCAGAAUUCAGUGAAUCAUCGAAUCUUUGAACGCACAUUGCGCCCCUUGGUAUUCCAUGGGGCAUGCCUGUUCGAGCGUCAUUUGUACCUUCAAGCUAUGCUUGGUGCUGGGUGUCUGUCUUUGCCUUUGUGCCUAGACUCGCCCUAAAUACAUUGGCAGCUAAUAUAUUUGUUUCAAGCGCAGCACAAUUUGCCUUGGAGCCUACUAUUAUUUGCUUCCAUGAAGACUAUUCAACACUUUUGACCUCGGAUCAGGUAGGGAUACCCGCUGAACUUAA